rnacentral:rRNA from 1 species
CGGCGUGCCUAAUACAUGCAAGUCGAAGCGAACAGAUAAGGAGCUUGCUCCUUUGACGUUAGCGGCGGACGGGUGAGUAACACGUGGGUAACCUACCUAUAAGACUGGAAUAACUCCGGGAAACCGGGGCUAAUGCCGGAUAACAUGUUGAACCGCAUGGUUCUACAGUGAAAGACGGUCUUGCUGUCACUUAUAGAUGGACCCGCGCCGUAUUAGCUAGUUGGUGGGGUAACGGCCUACCAAGGCGACGAUACGUAGCCGACCUGAGAGGGUGAUCGGCCACACUGGAACUGAGACACGGUCCAGACUCCUACGGGAGGCAGCAGUAGGGAAUCUUCCGCAAUGGGCGAAAGCCUGACGGAGCAACGCCGCGUGAGUGAUGAAGGUCUUCGGAUCGUAAAGCUCUGUUGUUAGGGAAGAACAAAUGUGUAAGUAACUGUGCACAUCUUGACGGUACCUAACCAGAAAGCCACGGCUAACUACGUGCCAGCAGCCGCGGUAAUACGUAGGUGGCAAGCGUUAUCCGGAAUUAUUGGGCGUAAAGCGCGCGUAGGCGGUUUUUUAAGUCUGAUGUGAAAGCCCACGGCUCAACCGUGGAGGGUCAUUGGAAACUGGAAAACUUGAGUGCAGAAGAGGAAAGUGGAAUUCCAUGUGUAGCGGUGAAAUGCGCAGAGAUAUGAGGAGGAACACCAGUGGCGAAGGCGGCUUUCUGGUCUGCAACUGACGCUGAUGUGCGAAAGCGUGGGGAUCAAACAGGAUUAGAUACCCUGGUAGUCCACGCCGUAAACGAUGAGUGCUAAGUGUUAGGGGGUUUCCGCCCCUUAGUGCUGCAGCUAACGCAUUAAGCACUCCGCCUGGGGAGUACGGUCGNAAGACUGAAACUCAAAGGAAUUGACGGGGACCCGCACAAGCGGUGGAGCAUGUGGUUUAAUUCGAAGCAACGCGAAGAACCUUACCAAAUCUUGACAUCCUUUGACCGCUCUAGAGAUAGAGUUUUCCUCUUCGGAGGACAAAGUGACAGGUGGUGCAUGGUUGUCGUCAGCUCGUGUCGUGAGAUGUUGGGUUAAGUCCCGCAACGAGCGCAACCCUUGAACUUAGUUGCCAUCAUUCAGUUGGGCACUCUAAGUUGACUGCCGGUGACAAACCGGAGGAAGGUGGGGAUGACGUCAAAUCAUCAUGCCCCUUAUGAUUUGGGCUACACACGUGCUACAAUGGACAAUACAAAGGGCAGCGAAACCGCGAGGUCAAGCAAAUCCCAUAAAGUUGUUCUCAGUUCGGAUUGUAGUCUGCAACUCGACUACAUGAAGCUGGAAUCGCUAGUAAUCGUAGAUCAGCAUGCUACGGUGAAUACGUUCCCGGGUCUUGUACACACCGCCCGUCACACCACGAGAGUUUGUAACACCCGAAGCCGGUGGAGUAACCAUUUUGGAGUAGCCGUCGAAGGUGGGACA